AGCGAACGCUGGCGGCAGGCUUAACACAUGCAAGUCGAGCGGGCACUUUCGGGUGUCAGCGGCAGACGGGUGAGUAACACGUGGGAACGUACCCUUUGGUUCGGAACAACUCCGGGAAACUGGAGCUAAUACCGGAUAAGCCCUUCGGGGAAGAUUUAUUGCCAAGGAUCGGCCCGCGUCUGAUUAGCUAGUUGGUGAGGUAACGGCUCACCAAGGCGACGAUCAGUAGCUGGUCUGAGAGGAUGAUCAGCCACACUGGGACUGAGACACGGCCCAGACUCCUACGGGAGGCAGCAGUGGGGAAUAUUGGACAAUGGGCGAAAGCCUGAUCCAGCCAUGCCGCGUGAGUGACGAAGGCCCUAGGGUUGUAAAGCUCUUUCGGCGGGGACG
rnacentral:rRNA from 1 species